rnacentral:rRNA from 1 species
UACGUAGGGUGCGAGCGUUAAUCGGAAUUACUGGGCGUAAAGCGUGCGCAGGCGGUUUUGUAAGCCAGAUGUGAAAUCCCCGGGCUUAACCUGGGAAUGGCAUUUGGGACUGCAAGGCUUGAGUGCGGCAGAGGAGACUGGAAUUCCCGGUGUAGCAGUGAAAUGCGUAGAUAUCGAGAGGAACACCAGUGGCGAAGGCGAGUCCCUGGACAACACCUGACACUGAGGCACGAAAGCUAGGGGAGCAAACAGG